GGGCUAUUAGCUCAGUGGUAGAGCACGCCCCUGAUAAUUGCGUCGUUUCUGGUUCAAGUCCAGGAUGGCCCA
rnacentral:tRNA from 14 species